CCUACGGGGGGCUGCAGUGAGGAAUAUUGGUCAAUGGACGAGAGUCUGAACCAGCCAAGUAGCGUGAAGGAUGACUGCCCUAUGGGUUGUAAACUUCUUUUAUAUAGGAAUAAAACGUUGCACGUGUGCCUUUUUGUAUGUACCUUAUGAAUAAGGAUCGGCUAACUCCGUGCCAGCAGCCGCGGUAAUACGGAGGAUCCGAGCGUUAUCCGGAUUUAUUGGGUUUAAAGGGAGCGUAGGUGGGUUGUUAAGUCAGUUGUGAAAGUUUGCGGCUCAAACGUAAAAUUGCAAUUGAUACUGGCAGUCUUGAGUACAGUAGAGGUAGGCGGAAUGCGUGGUGUAGCGGUGAAAUGCUUAGAUAUCACGAAGAACCCCGAUUGCGAAGGCAGAUUACUAAACUGUGACUGACACUGAGGCUCGAAAGUGUGGGUAUCAAACAGGAUUAGAUACCCCAGUAGUC
rnacentral:rRNA from 1 species